rnacentral:rRNA from 1 species
AACGAACGCUGGCGGCAUGCCUAACACAUGCAAGUCGAACGAAGCCUUCGGGCUUAGUGGCGCACGGGUGCGUAACGCGUGGGAAUCUGCCCUUGGGUUCGGAAUAACAGUUAGAAAUGACUGCUAAUACCGGAUGAUGUCUUCGGACCAAAGACUUAUCGCCCAAGGAUGAGCCCGCGUAGGAUUAGGUAGUUGGUGGGGUAAUGGCCCACCAAGCCGACGAUCCUUAGCUGGUCUGAGAGGGUGAUCAGCCACACUGGGACUGAGACACGGCCCAGACUCCUACGGGAGGCAGCAGUGGGGAAUAUUGGACAAUGGGCGAAAGCCUGAUCCAGCAAUGCCGCGUGAGUGAUGAAGGCCUUAGGGUUGUAAAGCUCUUUUACCAGGGAUGAUAAUGACAGUACCUGGAGAAUAAGCUCCGGCUAACUCCGUGCCAGCCGCCGCAGUAA